rnacentral:rRNA from 1 species
UCCUACGGGAGGCAGCAGUGGGGAAUUUUGGACAAUGGGGGCAACCCUGAUCCAGCCAUGCCGCGUGCGGGAAGAAGGCCUUCGGGUUGUAAACCGCUUUUGUCAGGGACGAAAAGGUGCGGGUUAAGAGCUAGCACUGAUGACGGUACCUGAAGAAUAAGCACCGGCUAACUACGUGCCAGCAGCCGCGGUAAUACGUAGGGUGCGAGCGUUAAUCGGAAUUACUGGGCGUAAAGCGUGCGCAGGCGGUUGGGUAAGACAGAUGUGAAAUCCCCGGGCUUAACCUGGGAACUGCAUUUGUGACUGUCCGACUGGAGUAUGUCAGAGGGGGGUGGAAUUCCAAGUGUAGCAGUGAAAUGCGUAGAUAUUUGGAAGAACACCGAUGGCGAAGGCAGCCCCCUGGGGCAAAACUGACGCUCAUGCACGAAAGCGUGGGGAGCAAACAGGAUUAGAUACCCUGGUAGUCC